rnacentral:tRNA from 1 species
AAAAUUUUAAGUUAAUAAAACUAUAAGCCUUCAAAGUUUAGUAUAUUAGUUAAAUCUAAUAAAUUUUA